UACGUAGGGUGCGAGCGUUGUCCGGAAUUACUGGGCGUAAAGGGCGCGUAGGCGGGAUGGCAAGUCGGUCGUGAAAUCCCUCGGCUCAACCGAGGAACGUCGAUCGAUACUGCUGUUCUUGAGGAUUGCAGAGGAGACUGGAAUUCCCGGUGUAGCGGUGAAAUGUGUAGAGAUCGGGAGGAACACCGGUGGCGAAGGCGGGUCUCUGGGCAAUUCCUGACGCUGAGGCGCGAAAGCCAGGGGAGCAAACGGG
rnacentral:rRNA from 1 species